GUAAUUUGCCUUGCUACCAGUGUUUCUCUACCAUAAAAAUAUUAUGAGCCUCCAGCCAAACCCAACCUGAAGCCACCCAGCAAGGAGCCUGGGAGAGAGAGUCUAUGGGAGUUGCGUGAAGUAGAGAAAGGACUCAGUAUCUCUACAAAAAGAAGCCCCUUCUGAAAAUAAAGGACAUACAAAAAGGCAUUUUACUAAACAAACACAAAUGCCAUUGCACCAUUGUGAUUCUCCCUUGGAAACUUGUAUUUGUUAGGUGCACUCUCUUGAAAAUGGCUUUAAAGAGGGUCACACAUAAGCCCAAGUAGUUCAACUGGGGCUUAGUUCUUGGCAUGAUUAGCAAAAUAGGUUUUCCAACACAUUUAUUUUGGGGAUUUUUUUUCCCCUGUGAGUCUUUAAUUUGGCUGCCAGUCCCUUCACUAAUUUUAUUGUUCUGUGUUGUUGUUGUUUUUUCUCAUUGAGGAUGUUAUUGGAUAAAACUUAUAGGCACAUUACUCAGCCUGGCAAGUGUGGGGAUAAUGACCAUUUCCUGACACUCACAUUUUAAGGAGAUUUGCUUGUUUUCCUAUUUCAUCAACUGCUCUGACAUUCUUCCUAUGUGUUGCCAUCAUCUAAGAUGUUGCUAACAUCGAAGAAGGACUUCAUUCUAAAACAUGAUAUUUCAUCCAGACACUCUCUUGGUGUAGCUAUGUAAGUAGAACUUUAGGGACUUUGCCUUGGUACCACUCUUGAAAGAAGGGGAAACCUCCUACCUUUGUCCCCCCUUACCAUUUUAGAUCCCCCACCCCCCACAACUUUCUGGUAGAAACUUCCUCUUCUGAGGUUAAAAUUAAAAAACCCUUAUGUAUUGUCCUUCUGAAUCCAGGUUCAUUUGACAGAUUGUAGUUUAGCACAACACUUAGAAUAAGUAUGAAUAUAAAUUAUUUUCUCCCUAUAGAGCAGAUCCUCUGAAUAUAUCACCUUUCAGUGGCUUCACCUUGCCCUUCAGACUCCCUCAGCCAAACUAGUCUUGCCCUACCUUUUGGCUCAAAGGAUUGGCCAUUUUUCACUCUUCUCCAAGUCUACAUGCCUACAGUCUUUUCUUUCCAUGCUUAGUUAAGUGCUGCUUUUCCAAAAAGCCUCUUAAAAUCCCAGUCUUCUUUGAGUCCUCAUCACACUUGCCUCCCAACCAAACAUUUCCAGAUCUAGGUCCUUUUUCUCCACCACUUUCUGUAGCAGGGAGGCCCUAUGUGCCAGGACCGUACAUUUGGACACUGUAUUUACCUCCUUCCUAACUGGUUUCCCUCUCUCCUAUCUCUCCUUCACACUCUUUGGUGCAGCAUCCCUAAGCUCUGUGUUUAUUGGCACAUUCCCAUACUCAAUAACUUCUUUCAUUGCUUACAAAAUCAAUUCUAAACUUAGAAUGACAUGCAAAAACACUCUUUGCUUUGUCCCUUUGCUCUUGUUCUUUCCUAUCAAAAUUUUGCUCAUUCUUCAUUAUCCCACAUCUCUAUGUAAAUUUAAAUGUAGUUGUUUAUGUGUUUGCCUUUCCCAUUAAGUAGUAUCUCCUUGAGGGUAAGGACUUUGUAUUCUCAAAAUGGCUAGGACAAGUACCUGGCACACAGAAAUGCUUCACGAGGUUAGAGACUACGUCUCAUUUGCCUUUGUGGUCCAGGCACUCACACCUAGCUCGAUAAACAUGUGUUGAAUUAUGACUGAAAGAAAAACAAUAUAUUUCCAUGAAGUUCCUCUUUGAAGAAGAAGCAGUAUGGAAUCAAAUGGAUGGUUAAAAUGUUGAAUUUUCUGUUGUCUUCUAUUGACCUUGGGUUUAUCACUAUUCUAUGGAUCUCAGUUUUUUUGCUUUCAUAAGAAGUUAAGUCUUAGGUCUGAUUGUGUGUGUAUGCAAGAGAGAGAGAGAAAGAGAGACAGAGAGAGACAGAGAGAGAGAGAGGGAAUUCCAUUGGUAUUUCCUUGGGGAAAGAGAAAUAAUCUUCCUAACAAUUAGGCUUCAUUUAUAUAAAUUACCACAGGGCGUUGCCAAGGCCAAGAAAGUUGAAGUUUAGAGUUCAAAGAGGUUCUUUUAUCUUCUGAAGUUGGAAGAGGCAUUGAUUUACAUUUGCAGCCUUGACUUGUCUCCAUAAUCUCAGGACCUAAUGAUGAUAAAUCACAUCAAACUCAUCCUCUGUGGUUUACAGAGUACCUUUGUUUGCCAGCUUUCUUUCUUUCUUUCUUCCUUUCUCUCUGUUUUUCUUUUUUACUUUGCUACAGAUAUUUUCAAAGCACUUUCAAAUUUCAAAUCAUUUUGUUGGAGUUUCACAAACACCUUAUGAAGUAGCUUGAGCAGAUAUAGUUAUGAUCAUUUUCAAUUUCACUUUGGCUUUAGAAUUAGUCUUUUAAUUUAAAAAAAUCUUAUUAUAAUGAAAAUAUUCUAGCCAGCCUGAGUUUGGAAUCCUAGUUUAUUCCUUAUUAGGAGAAUGACCUGCAGCAGAUCACUUAAUCUCUCUGAACCCAAGUCUCUCUUCAUAAAAUGGCGUUAACAGCAGUACCUACUACACAGGUCUGUUGGGAGAAUUGCUCCUGGAACUUUUUUUGCUCUUGUUUUACUUUCUUCUUGGAGUUUCCGUUAAGCAGAAACUCAAAGCUAAGUCACUUUAAAGAGUUGACUCUCUUUAUGCCAAUUUCAACAUUCACACAGGCUUUGUCUUUGGUCAUUUUUAUAUUGCUACCUGCACCCUAGGUCACUCUCUAAAUAGGCAGCAGUUCAAAGAGGUCCUUCUACUUUUUCUAUAGAUCAUGAUUUCCUUAAGGACACCGAAUAUUUCUUGCCUGACAGUUUCCUGCCCUUGUCCAAGUUCAGUCUUGGUGCAUUCUUUAUCCAAAUAUUAUUCCUAAAGAACAUUGAUUAAAAGGUCUUUUUUAGAAGCCAUUAGGAUUAUGUAGAACAAAGAUGAAAGUGUUACUAUCACAGUCAUUAUUGACUUAUGAUAAGAUUCUGUCUUUCCUACUUGCAACUCAAAAUGCAGCCCUUAGACAAGUAGUGGCAACAUCACUUGGGCGUUUAUUGGAAAUACAGAAUCUCCACCUGGCCUCGGAUCUACUGAAUCAUAAUCUCCAAACUGCAUUUUAGCAAGUUUCCCAGGGAAAUCCAUACACAUCAAAGUUUGGAAAACACUGCUCUAAAACAUGCUCUUAUCCAACCCAGUGAUAAGCACACCUGAAGGUACAGUGCUCACCAGAUUUCCCAUACUGGGUGGUAUUAACUCACCUGAUUCUUGAUCUUAUCUCAUUUUGUUCUGUUUCAAUACCUGCUCACUUCUCUGCAUUUCUACCCACUCAAAUUUAACUUUGGGGUGCUCGACUCAUAUUCUUUGCUUCCAGCUUACCAAUAAGCAACCCCCCUUUUGGCAUGGUUUUCCUUAAGAUUGCUACUCCUAAAUCUACCACAUCUAUUUGUUCUUAUGAGCUACUCUCAUUAGGCAAUUCCUUAGGCCUUCCUCACUUAGACUUUAGUCAACAGGACCUUUCAAAAGGCAUCUAUUAAGAAUUAUUUGUGUGUGUUCAUGCAGAACAAAUGCAGCCAGAUAUACUGAGUCCCACAGGAAAAGUGCAGACAUUAGUGAGACAGUUUAUGAAUAUAGUAAUAGUUGUUUCAAGAGAUAGUGGCUACUCUGUACCAACUAGACUACUGACUAGACUUUCUAAAAUACAGAUGCUACACUUGCCAUACAGAAUUUUUAUUUAAAAGGACUUAUUUGAUUGAUACUCUUAUACUGAAUUUUGAACAUUCAAUUCUGUUUUACUUAAAUCAAAUUGCUGGAAGAAAUACAUGAUUUUUAAAGAUUUUAUUCUGGAGGAAUAAGGGAGUUUUUGGACUUCUUCUACAUUGAGAUUUUUUGUGUGCACAGCAAAAUACCAAAAGGAAAUAAAUUCAGUGCAAAGAAAUGAGGAGCAUAAUGACCUUGGAUGUUUUCACCGUAGUUUUUGAAAUAUUCUUCCACCCUUUUGUAAGGUUUCAAAGUGAAAUAACACCCUUGUCAAAAUGUCUAAGCACUCCAAUAAUAGGUGAUGGAGAAAUGGUGACAGAGAGAAAACAGGUGUUUUAGUUCACUAAUAUAGCAUCCAGGCAAAGAUUUCCUCUGUUACCUACCUCACAAGAGUAAAUACUUUAGAACUACAGUCUUGAUGAGUAAAAAAUGACUGUGAAUAAUGCCCACUUUCUAUGAAGGAGAAUUUUAACUUUAAUACUAUUUAAAAUGAGAUUUCACUUAUUUUAACAUUCUCUUUGUUGGCAGGGAAAAAAAAAAACGAUUAAUGACUAUUCUAUGUUAACAUGUGCUAAUGAGCUUAGAAAUGUUUUCUUCCAUCUAAUUUGGAAACCUCAACAUAUAUAAGAAAAAAGAUUUAUAUUAAUAAUGGUUUAUAUUUCUGUCAUUUACUUAGAGUUAGAUGAUAUAAAGUGAUCUGGUACUCCUAUCACACCUUAAAGAUUUCUUGUUCCUUUCCCUCAGUGCAAUGAUAAUGUAAUUAUAUUAGAUAAACAGAGUAAGAUAAUGACCAAAGAAAUAUUUGCACACUCCACUUUGUCAUACAAUGUUGUCCUGUAAAACUGGAUGCAUUGUCUAAUGGAGACAUUUAAACAAAUGCCUUAUUAGCUGAUGACGGCUUAAUAUAUAAACAGGGUAGGAGUUGCUUUGUGGACACCUGUUGCCGUUUCUUGCCCUAGAGAAGUGAGUGGUGUGGAGUUUUCCCACCAAGGCACUCUAAUGAGGAGUUACUUUUUGCUCAGGGCAGCCUGUCCUAUCAUCCCUGAAGUCAGCCCCACAGCUCCUCUACGUCAGUUGCACUGUCUCCUUGAUGUGCGCAGUCUGGUGGCAUGGCCUGAAAGCCCACGUUCUAGCUGGGACUUUUAUUCAUUUGCCCUGGUGAGAGGGCUCACAUCUUGUGCACCAGACUUUCAAUAUGCUGCUUUAAAGAAGCCAGUUCAUAUUCUUCUUUAAAAAUCUUGAUAUAUUUGACUCCUAGAGUUUUCUGGAUUAUAAGAUUAAGGUACGGGUUAGAACUCUGUUGUCCAAUAUGGUAUAACCUCUAGCCACAGAAGGCAAUUGAGGUCUUGAUGUGUGACCAUUCCCAAUUGAGAUGUGCUGUUAAGGAAAAAUGCACACUGGAUUUCAAAGACUUAGGAGUAAAAAAAAGAAGAAUGCAAAUAUUUUAUUAAUAAUUUCUUUAUGUUGAUUAAUGUUGAAAUGAUAUUUCAGUUAUAUUGAGUGUCAUAGUUCACUCAGCCUGCUACAACAAAAUGCUGUAGCCUGGGUAGUUUGUAAACAACAGAAAUUAUUUUCACAGUUUUGGAGGCUGGGAAGUCCAAAAUCAAAGUGCCAAUAGAUUCCAUAUCUGGUGAGAAUUCACUUCCUGGUUCAUAGACUGCUAUCUUUUCACCAUAACCUCACAUGGCAGAAAAAAAGUUGUUAUUAAUUUAUAAUUUUGUUAAAUUAUAUUCAGAAAUGCAGCUUGUAAAACUCUGGUUUUGGAACUUUGAAAUUUUCUCCAUAUUCCUAUUAUAUGAUAAAUUAUUAUAAAUAGACUAUAGGUAUUGGAAAAGGAAAGAUUUUCUGUUUAUACAGUAUUGUACAAUUUUAUAAAAUUGUAUAUUAAAUCAAUUUUAAAAAUAAAUUAAUCAGUACCUUUAUAGACUUGAUUUCAUUUAUUUUAUCUGUCAAAGACAGAUGUGUUAGCAGUUCUGAAUAUAAUCACAUUUCUGUCAUUUUGCUCAUUGUAUUUCUAAUAAUUUUUGCUUUACAUGUGUUAAUGCAGUAUUAUCUGACAUAUAAAUGUUCAAGACAAUUAUAUUUUCAUUGUAAAUUGAACCAUUUACCAAUAUAAAAUGAUAGUUUCCCGU
ensembl:lncRNA